rnacentral:rRNA from 1 species
AUGAACGCUGGCGGCGUGCCUAAUACAUGCCGGUCGAGCGAACAGACGAGGAGCUUGCUCCUCUGACGUUAGCGGCGGACGGGUGAGUAACACGUGGAUAACCUACCUAUAAGACUGGGAUAACUUCGGGAAACCGGAGCUAAUACCGGAUAAUAUAUUGAGCCGCAUGGUUCAAUAGUGAAAGACGGUUUUGCUGUCACUUAUAGAUGGAUCCGCGCCGCAUUAGCUAGUUGGUAAGGUAACGGCUUACCAAGGCAACGAUGCGUAGCCGACCUGAGAGGGUGAUCGGCCACACUGGAACUGAGACACGGUCCAGACUCCUACGGGAGGCAGCAGUAGGGAAUCUUCCGCAAUGGGCGAAAGCCUGACGGAGCAACGCCGCGUGAGUGAUGAAGGUCUUCGGAUCGUAAAACUCUGUUAUUAGGGAAGAACAAAUGUGUAAGUAACUAUGCACGUCUUGACGGUACCUAAUCAGAAAGCCACGGCUAACUACGUG